UAUCCUGUUAUUACUUUUGUUGAUCAUAUCUAUUUCUGUCUGGUUUAAAGCUAAUUCUCUACAUGCUUAAUUCCUUAGGAAUAAGACAUGUGUAUUUGGUACCUGAGAUAUAUUUCAAAUGUAAUAUGAUGCCUUCUUCUUGUCUCUUCUAUGUAGUGUCUUUCGUUUCUUAUCAAAACUUUCUUUAUAGAUAUAGCAAUGAUCUAAAAAACUGGUGCUCCUAAUACCGGCCCGUUCGUUCAGCCCGAGAUCCUUGCUGAUGAUACUCAAGGUGUGCAUUUGCAAUGGCAUCGGAUAUACUAUCAGCCAUAUGAUCGAGAAGACUCACUCACUGGAUACACAUUAGAAAUACUUGAAGCUCCGUCAAAGGAGUGGAAAACUUUGGUAACUGGAUUAAAAGAUAAAAGACAUAGAAUUACAGAUUUAAAGCAAGGAGUGGAUUACUAUAUCAGAAUAAGGGGAGAAACUACAACUGGAGAACUUACUGACCCAUCACCCCCACUGCCCAUCUUACAGAAAAAAGUUCAAUCAACACCUCUUGAAGAACUAUGUGCACUAGUUGGCAUUGAAGGCAUAAAGAGAAGACGAGAGUUGAUUUGCAGAGAAACACCUGAAAGUACAACAAGUGAAGUAAGUUAUUCAGGCUACAGAACCAUGCUUGCUUCAGAAGAAAGCCUUGAUAGCCUGUUUGAGGCUCAAGCCACAAUUAACAAUACAACAAUUAAUUUUGAAGAAGAUCUAUCAGCUAUCAACAGGCCAUACUAUGACAUGCUCACUUGUAAAGUUACUCCUCGAAUGCCUAUUGAUCCACCUGAGUUAAUAGAUGAUGGCUCUGAUGUUGCAUGGUUAGUGUGGAAACCAGCUUCAGUGCCAACAACUACAGAAAUUGCUAUGACAAAGCCAAUUAGUUACAGCAUAGAAAUGAAAAGGCCUCCUUCUUCAGAAUGGGUCACCAUUAUUUCCAAUUUGCUUACUACAAAGAAUCAAGUUGCUCAGCUCCUGCCAGACCAGAAUUAUUCUUUUCGAGUACGAUGUCAUAAUGAAUUUGGAGCAGGAGAUGCUUCAUUACCUGUUAAUUUACACAGGGCAGCAACGAAUGGGCUCUCUGAGGAUUAUGAUCAUCCAGAGACUAAUGAUAAUGGUGAAGAAGAGAUAGAUUGGAUAAAUUUUGAUGGUGAAAAAGUUCCACCUCGUCUUCCAUUGGAUCGACCAUUGAUUCAGGAUGUAACCGAGAAUUCUUUGACACUUCGAUGGUUUAGUGCUAGAACUCCAGCUUAUGGAAAAUUAUCUCCGAUAAAAUACACAGUUGAAGUAAAAGAGCAAUGGGCAAAAGCUUGGCAUCCUCUCAUAACGGACUUAACUGAAAAUAAAUUUCACGUCAAAGAUAUCCACCCCCAACAAAGUUAUGCUUUCCGUGUUAAAGCUGAAAAUGAAUUUGGUGAAACUGAGCCUACUAUGACAGCAACCUUAAUUAGAAACACUCAGUCACCUACUCCAUCAACAUCAAUGGAGGAAGAGAAAGUUGAAAAGCUUCUUCUACCAUCUGUCACAUUUAAUGAUCCUAUGGUUAUGAUCAGUCCUCCUAGGGCUCCAAAGGGUCGUCCAAAAAUUACUGAAGAAUCUGGAAGCAGUCUUAUCUUGAGUUGGAAACCUGCCCGUGUUCCAUCUUAUGCUAAAAACUGUUGCAUUACAUAUGUCAUUGAAAUACGUGAACCACCAGCACUUCAAUGGAACUCUGUUGCUUCAGGGAUAACAGAGACCACCCAUACUUUAAGUGACCUUAAUUCUGAGCAAGAUUAUAUGUUCAGAGUCAGAGCAGCCAAUGAAUUUGGUACCAGUGAUCCUUCACUACCAGCAACUUUACACAGGGAAAUUGAUUAUUUGAAACAACUGCAAAGGCAGCUUUCAACUGAAAGUUCCAUUUUAAUGAGUCCAGAUCUACUCUCUCCAGAUGAUGCUAGUUCCUUUUUCGAUUCGGAAUUCAAAACCCCACAAACUCCAGAAUUCCUUACUCCAGAAGGAGUCCCUCAGUAUGCAACAGAAUGUAGUAAUGGAAAGAUUGAGUUGAAAAUACAAUCAUAUCCAGCUCCUAAAGCUUCUUGGUAUUUUAAGGAUAACAAGAUUGAACAUGGUGACCGAUACUCAUCUUCUGUUAAGGUAGAUGGAACUGUAACAUUGGAAUUUCCAAACAUGUCAUGGGAAGAUUGUGGUGAUUACAAGUGCUAUGUUGAAAAUGAAGUAGGCUUUGCCUGCCAGACAGUUACUCUACACUUAGCAGAACCACCAACAAUUACAAAACCACUCCAAGACAUCUUUUUAGUAAGUGGCAGCUGUGGUUCAUUAAAUUGUCACAUUGAUGGAAUUCCAUAUCCAUGUGUAUAUUGGAGUAAGAACAGACAACCUCUGAUAGAAACAUCUAAAGUGCAUGUCCAGUAUGAGUCACCUGGUCAAUGGAGUUUAGUCUUUGAUGAUGCUAACAUCAAUGAUGCUGGUACUUAUGAAUGCUUUGCUGAAAAUGAAGGAGGGAAAACAUUUACAAUGGCUGAGAUAGAAGUGUCAGAAUCUACACCAGUUCCCAGCUAUAUUUUGUUCUGUGAAUCUCGAGUUGAAAACUACUAUUAUAUUCUUGAAGAAAUUGGCAGAGGACGGCAUGGAAUUAUUCGAAGAGUUAUAGAGAAAUCAACUGGCAAGGAGUUUGCUGGCAAAUUCUUAACGCUCAGUGACCCAAAAGAGAAGGAGUUUUUCCAGACAGAACUUGAAUGUCUUAGAGUUCUAGAUCAUCCUCAUAUUAUGAAAAUCCAUGAGGCCUAUGAAACAGUGAAAUCAUAUGUAUUGAUUACAGAAUUAAUUCAUGGAACGGAACUGAUUGAACAUAUUCUUACAACAUACAAUUGGACUGAAACUGAUGCUGCAUACUACAUUCAUCAACUAUUGUUAGCACUUGAAGAAUUAAGAAUCCGUGGUGUGGCUCAUUUAGAUAUUAAGCCAGGAAAUAUAAUUUACGAAGAAAAAACAGACAAAAUCAAACUUAUCGAUUUUGGAUUUGCCAAAAAGAUUCACAAUGUACCACUAAAGCUAAAUUAUGGAACACCUGAGUUUGCAUCUCCUGAAGUUGUGUGCAGUGAAGUAAUAUCAGAAUCGACUGAUUUAUGGAGUUUAGGAGUACUGACUUACAUUUUAUUGAGUGGUAUUUCACCAUUCCAUUGUGAAUCUGUCUCUGAGACUCUCAAUAAAAUUGAGAGUUGUGAGUGGCAUUUUGAUGAGGAAGCUUUCAAACACAUUUCAGAUGAAGCUAAAGAUUUUAUUACCAGUCUUCUCAAGAAGGAACCACUAUUUCGUUUAGAAAUAGAUGAAUGUCUGAGUCAUCCCUGGAUUGAACUUGCUCAAAGAAAGGGUGAAGGUAAUAGAUUGGAAUUAAAGAAUCUGGAAAUGUUUCAUCAAAGAGAUUUAGCUAUGAGAAAAUCUAGUGCCAUUGUAAAAACUGCUCGAUUGGAAAGUUUGACAAAAAUGGAAGUUGUUAUACCAUCAGCUCCUACUCUCAAACCAGAAAUUGAUCCAGAAACUAAUAAAGUAAUUUACCCUGAUUCAAGAGAAUAUGGUGAAUUCUUAGACUCAGAAACACGCUUUGACUGGAAUAAACGAUUUGAACCAAGAAGUGAAUCUGAAUAUUCUUUGCGUACUAGGAUGUAUACUGAACUAAAAUCCCAAGAAGGUGAAACUGGAGAAAAUGAAAAUGAAAUAGGAGCAGAGGAAGAUGAAGAAAUUAGAAUAAAAGCAAGAACUAAGAGGCGUCUUUCUGAACUUGAUAUUGAACAUGACAAAAUAGUUCAGAUGGAAAAAGAAGUGGAAUGGGUAAUUGCUAGUUCAGAAAUACGAAAUGAACGUCAAAUUGCUCGUGAAAAAGAAGGCCAAGUUUAUGUGAUGGAAAGGAAACCAAGUGUAGGCAUGCCAAAAGAAGGUUAUCGUCCAAUUUUUCGUGCAAAACUAACAGAUCAAGUUGUACGUGAUGGGGAAAAUGUAACAUUUAUGUGUCUCAUCCGAGGCCGACCCAGUGUUAGUGUUGCCUGGUAUAAAGAUGAAGAGUAUCUUACACAGAAUAACCGCAUUAGAGUUUCACUUAGUGAAGAUGGAGUUUCUUCCUUGACUUUGAUUAGUGCUAAGUCAUAUGAUGUUGGUGUGUACAAAUGUGUUGCUCGGAAUAAAAUGGGACGAACAACAUGUCGAGCAAAACUUUUGAUUGGAGAUGUCACCAGCCGUCCACAGAGACCAAUUGCUGUUGCUGUUUCUGAUCGAGAAAUCUUAUUGGUUUGGGAUCCACCUCAGUAUGAUGGAGAAUCCCCAGUUAUAUUUUAUAGAGUCUAUUGCAAAAAAGCAGAGGAUUACCAAUGGAGGAAAAGUAUGAAAACUACUAAUGAAUGUGCUCUUAUUGGAAAUCUAACACCUGAAACUGACUAUGUAUUUAAAAUAUCUUGUCAGAAUAAAUUUGGUCUCAGUCCAUACAGCUAUGCUUCAAAUAUAAUCACCACAAAGAAAGAAAGUUGUAAAGUAUUAGAAUUACACAAACAUCCAGACUAUUCACAGAUGUUAUGCAUAAAUGCAGAUAUAAUAUCUUCAUUGAAUCGUUCCCAAGGUCCAGCAAAUGUUGUAGAAUAUUACAGGGAUAGAGACGAUGAAGUCAUGAAUUUUGAUCCUGCUGAACAAUAUACGUUCCUUGAACAAAUCACUAGGGGUGCAUUUCGUCAAUGGAAGCUGUGUCGAAGCAAAAGAACAGAAGAAUUGUACUAUGCCAAAAUAACUCCUUAUGAAACACUUACAGAUGAAAUUAUGAAUGAAUUCAAUCUUUUAGUAACAGUACAACAUGUAAAUGUCAUUACUGUGAUUGGAGCUUUCUUACUUAACAACAUUCACACAGUGAUCUUUGAGUAUGUUGACAGUGAGAAUAUCGUUGACCAUUUGUCAUCUAGAUGUAGCUACACUGAGGAAGAUGUGGCAAGAAUUAUCACUCAACUACUCGAUGCUUUACAAUAUCUGCAUUUCUUGUGUAUUAUUCAUCUGAACUUACAACCAGAAAACAUCUUGUUGGGAAGAAUGUGUCCUAUAUUGAAACUUAAGGAUUUCACCUUAGCCCAGAAGAUUGUAACACCAAUUGGAAAACAUGUCCCUCAGUGUGGAUCACCUGAAUUUAUGUCACCUGAAGUUGUGGUCCGAGAACCUGCUGGUGUUGCUGCUGAUGUCUGGGGAGUUGGUGUUAUUUCAACACUACUGCUCAGUGGAGAAACUCCUUUUGUUGGAAAUACUGAAGAAGAGACACUGGCUAAUAUUGCAUACAAUCGAUUUGAUGGAAGUAACAUGUAUGAAAAUAUUUCUAAAGAAGCUUUGAAAUUUAUUUCUAAGACAAUUAAAAGAAUUCCUGGAAAUCGCAUGACAGUUGAUGACUGUUUAGAACACAAGUGGUUACAACUAUCAAGUGAUAUGACAAAAAUGCGAAAAGAAAAUGUAUUUAUGAGUUUGAAAUUAAGAGAAUUUGCCAAACAAUAUGAAGAGCAAAGAGGAUCUUCUUCCCGUCUGAGUCCAAUUGCCUCUGGUUUGAACGAUAUACCUGAGAGGAAAUUCAAACUACCAACAGAUAGUGAGAUUAAAGAAAAUAAAAAAUAUGGCUGGACUAGUGAGUUAUAUGAGGCAAAAUCAAAGGAGAAAACUUAUGAUAAAUAUGCAACUGCAAAUUAUGCUAAAUCUCUUUCUAGAAAUUUGAAUUCUCUUAGUAGUACUUCUGAAACAGAUAUGGAUUUAAAUUCGAAUUGGAAAUCUAAAUACAGUCAGCACCAAUCAUACACAGAUACAAAGAUGUCUGGUUAUAAACAAAGAAGUACUGAAGAUUUCAGCUAUAAAAAGGAAAUUGAUUUGCCAAGGCAACAAAGAACUAUUGAUAAUUUACGACAAAAUAAAACUUCUGAUAGUUUAAGGCAAAAUAAAACUACUGAUAGUUUAAGGCAAAAUAAAACUACUGAUAGUUUAAGGCAAAAUAAAAGUUUCACUGAUGACUUACCAAUAUAUUCAGCUAAACCAAGAGAAAAUAUUAUUGGAAGUCAGAAAAGCAGUAAAACUUCUAUGGCUAUGUCAAAAGAUACUUCUUCAAUGCAAAAAUCCCAAGCAACUGACUAUAAGUCACUAUUAGAAGAGAGUAGAGCUGCUGUGCAAGAAAGUCGAAAGUAUAUUGGAGCUUCAGCUAAAUCUGCUCUGGCUGGUACAUCUGAAAGAAUGAAAUAUAGUUCUAGCUUAUCAACUGACGAAGGGUUAGGAAUUAAAGAGGAGAGUAGGAAAUUAGCAACUGCCUCUAAAACUGACAUGAGGAAAGAAUUGAGUAUUGAUAAUGACUACUAUAUGACUUCAGAAAUGAAAGGGCUGAAUAAAUCCUACAAAUCAGUUACCAAGGAGACCUUACCAUCGAGUGACCUAUCUGCAUCUAUUACUAAAAAAAUGUCAAAUUCGAUUUCAUCAUCAAGAGAAGCUAGUUUUGAGGUGGAUGAAACAAAAGAUAUACUUUCUUCCAUUAGAGGAAAGCAGUCUUCAUUUGAUUUGAAAGAAAGUACAUUAACAAGAGAGAAGCAGGAAUCUUUUAGCACUACAAUAGAAUCUAAGUCAUUGAUGAAAGAAAAAAAUCUUUAUUCAGUUACUAACGAAACUAAUUUGCUUUCUGAAAAAGCUCAGCCCAUAGUUGAUAGAGAAAAACCAUUUCACACAGCUACUAUGGAAUCUUCAGCAAUGAUGCAAGAAAGGCAAGCAUAUUCAAGUAAGGAUGAAAGUGCUUUUAUGUCACAUGGUGCACAGUUUCAAACAGGUGCAAUAGAAACCAAAUCAAUGAGACAAGAAAUUCAAACAGUCACUGCUUCUAAAGAAUACAACUCACAAUUACAAGAGCAAAAACAAUACUCAAAUGUAGCUUCAAUUUCGGAUCAGUCAGCUGUUACAAAAACAGCUUCUUCCAGUUCUUUCCAGAACAGUAACAUAGCAAGUUCAAAUAGCAGAGAACAUCAUCUAAUGGCAAACGCAAGUGAAACAGUGGAGACUAUGUCAAGAAUGAGCAACCAAGAAGUAAAAAUAUCUUCAAAUGCAGAGUCUUACACUGGAGAAGAGAUGACUGUGUCACAAACAGAGAAUAUUAUCCAGAAGAAAUAGUCUUGUACUAAUUGAUUUAAUAUACCAGUGUUUUUAAAAAGUCAGAUGGAAUUCAUGGAGGCAGAUUUUCUACAGCCAACUAUCUGUCCUGCUGCCAACCCUCACUUGUUUCCAAGAUUUACCCUUAAACCUCUUGUACACCUAUUGUUGUUGUUUAGUCCCAAGUCAACCCAGAUUGAACAGAUCUAUAAUGAAAGGCAUUCCAGCCAUGAACAUCCUGUCUUUUUAGGGAUAUCUUCCAUUGUAACUGAAAAUACUGAUUAAUAUUGGUGAUGAAUACUGCAAUAUUUAUUGGUUUCAUUGCCAAGAUUAUCAGAUUAAACACACAAUAUAAUAAAAAAAUUGUUCCCUUUUCCUCCUUAAAAGUCAUAUUUCUAUAUAGGAUUAUAUCCAAAUGUGCUUUAAUUAUUCAUUUAUAAUCUUACAUUUUAUGGAUUUUUAUUGUUUCAUUUACAGUUAGAAUGUAAUUAACUCUCAAGCUAAAAUUGUGGAAACUUUCUGUGUGAUGUUUUUAGCUGAAAGUAUAUCUUAGUGUUUGUUUAUCCCAGAAGAUAAUAGAUAAUUUAUAAACCAAUGCUUAGAAUUAAUGCAACUGAAAGUUUUAUUGAUUUUUCAAUAUUUGUUUCUGGAUGAAAGAAACUGUAAAUGAUACAGAAAAGAAAAGAAAAGAAAAGAAAAAAGAAGGAAUUUUUAUUGUUAUUGUUGUUGUUUUUGUUGUUGAUGUUGUUGAUGAUGAAGUCUUAAAUUUCUCUGAUUAAACAUUUGUCUUGCU